rnacentral:misc_RNA from 1 species
CCUCUCCGUUCCCUCACCUCCACCUUCUCUCUUUCUGUCUUCCACUCUCUGCUUUCUAUUUACUUUCUCGCCGAAUUUUCUCUCUGGCCAAACAAAACAAUGGUGAGGGAUGAUUUGUGCAUAAAAGUGCCUAGUUUUUUCCGCUGCCCGAUAUCACUGGACGUGAUGAAAUCCCCUGUUAGUCUGUGCACCGGAGUCACCUACGACCGCACUAGCAUCCAACGGUGGCUCGACAGCGGCAAUAACACUUGCCCUGCAACCAUGCAGGUCCUCAAGAGCAAAGAGUUGGUCCCCAACAGCACCUUACAACGCCUCAUCCAGAUCUGGUACGACUCGGUGCAGCACCACCGUAGCCACCGUGUCAACUCGGCAACUAACCCAGUUUCCUCACAGGAUGAGAUCAAGUGCAUAGUUAAGGACAUUGAAACGAAAAAAGAACUAGAUCACUGUUGUUUCGACGCUUUAUCAAAAAUUCAGUGUUUCGCCGAAGGAUCCGUGGAGAACCAGGAAUUUCUAGCAAAAAUGGACGGAUUCGUGCCAAUGCUUCUUGAUUUUCUGGCCGAUAAUAAAAGCAUUGACUUCAUUGAGCAAGUAAUUAGGGUUCUAGAUUUGAUCUUAAUCAAAAUCGGAGAUUAUAAGGAGUUAAUGACAUUACUAUUGAAGAACAAAAAUAUCGAUUGCUUGUCCUCGCUCCUUCUCGUUUUUCAACGAGGAAGAAGCAUACACUCAAGAAUUGGAUCGGUGAGAAUUGUAGAAUCAAUCGCCAUGGAUGGAGAAUCGAAUUUGUUGAUCGCCGAAAAGGAUGGAUUAUUACCCGAAUUAGUAAAAUCAAUCGGCCUAGAAAACUAUCCGAGCUUGAUUGAAGCGAGCUUGUCAUGUUUAAUCGCGAUUUCAAAGGCGAGACGUGUCAAAGUUAAGCUAGUACAUCUCAAAACAAUUCCAGAAUUGAGAAACAUACUAACGGCAGACCCAAACACGGGAGUUUCAAACUUAAUCACCGAGAAGGCGUUGAAGCUGCUUGAAACGGUGUCGUCCUGCAAGGAAGGGAGAGUAGAGAUGUGCAGUGACAUGGCGUGCAUAGAAGCAGUGGUUCAGAAGGUGUUCAAAGUAUCGGUAGAGGCGACGGAGCAUGCGGUGACGAUAUUGUGGAGCAUCUGUUAUUUGUCUAGGGACGUGAAUGCUCGAGAGGCGGUGACGAACAGUAACGGGCUGACGAAGAUUUUGUUGCUUAUGCAGAGUAAUUGCUCGCCGACGGUGAGGCAGAUGGCGGGGGAUUUGUUGAAGAUUUUCAGGGUGAAUUCAAAGUCAUGCCUUUCCAGUUAUGAUACUAAGACUACACAUAUUAUGCCGUUUUGAUUCGAAACGUCAUUGGAUGGGAUAUGUGCUAAAUGUUAACCUUUUCUUUUUUUUCUUUUUCUCUGUUUCUCUCUUUUUGGUGCAAGAAAUUGAGAGAGGGAGAGAGAGAAAGAGUAGAGAAUCGCAUUGUAAAUCCAAAAGGAAAAAUUUUUUGUUUUGUUAAUACAAGAGAGAAUCAAAUCAAAUUCAAUUCGUAUGAUUUUG